AAGGCCUUAAGUUAAAAGCAAACUAAUAACCUUCAAAGCUAUAAAUAAAGGGAUUCCUUUAGGCCUUG
rnacentral:tRNA from 1 species